rnacentral:rRNA from 1 species
CUACGGGAGGCAGCAGUCGAGGAUCUUCGGCAAUGAGCGAAAGCUUGACCGAGCGACGCCGCGUGGGCGAUGAAGGCCUUCGGGUUGUAAAGCCCUGUCGAGGGGGAGAAAAGCCGCAAGGUGUGAUCUAUCCCUGGAGGAAGCUCGGGCUAAGUUCGUGCCAGCAGCCGCGGUAAGACGAACCGAGCGAACGUUGUUCGGAAUCACUGGGCUUAAAGGGCGCGUAGGCGGGCUGCCGCGUCCGGGGUGAAAUGCCACGGCUCAACCGUGGAAGGGCCUCGGAUACGGGCGGUCUCGAGGGGGGUAGGGGCAUGCGGAACUGUGAGUGGAGCGGUGAAAUGCGUUGAUAUUCACAGGAACUCCGGUGGCGAAGGCGGCGUGCUGGACCCCAUCUGACGCUGAGGCGCGAAAGCCAGGGGAGCAAACAGGAUUAGAAACCCCGGUAGUCC